GGAGAGAUGGCUGAGUGGCUGAAAGCGCUCCCCUGCUAAGGGAGUAUACAUUAAUAGUGUAUCGAGGGUUCGAAUCCCUCUCUCUCCGCCA
rnacentral:tRNA from 2 species